UUCACAAUUCUUGGUACCUAAC
rnacentral:piRNA from 1 species